UCUCAGGCUGCCUGGGGGACAUGCCUGUGGCUGUGAGCGUCUCCUGACAAGCCCUGUGGGGUUGGAGGGACAGCUCCAGAGUUCCCGAUCAGCACCGUGGCUCAGGGUCCCAGGACUGACCCCGGGAGGUGGUGGUGGCAGGGAGUCUGGCCACUCUAACAUUGCUUAUUGUACCAAAAAAGAUAAAAGAAGAAGAAAGAAGGAUACAGACACAGAGUGACUGCUCUAUUUUCCAGGCCCUGGUUGUGACACCACGUGGUGACAGAGGGUACAGGCCCUGUCUUGAGAUGCCUGAAGAGAUGAUCAAAGUACGGGGCAGAGAGGGCGGUGGGCUCACACUUCUCAGUGACCGGCUGGCCGCCUCCUCAGGACAUCUUCAUCUUGAACUGUCCUCCUUCCAGAAGCUCCGUCCGGGAGCCUCUGAGCCACUCAUCUCUCACUGCCCUCUCUUGGUCCCUCCCCGGCCCCAAUCUGGCAGAAAAUCCUGCAGGCUCCCCCUUCCGGCAGAUCCAGAAUCUGUCUGCUUGUCAGCGCCACAGUGGCCCUGACCAUCACUGCCUCCACUGGGUUCUUGUAGAUGCCUCCUCCCGGUCACCUAGUUCUUCCCUGGCUCCCUACAGAUUGCGCCUCACCGGGCCCCAAGGCUGAGUCAUAUGGCUCCACUCCUAGCUCAGAGUGGCUAAUGGCCUUCCAUCUCCUCAGAGUAAAAGGCUAUGACAUCGCAAGCAGUUACGGACUGAAGGCUUGUGUCCCCCCAAAUCCAUAAGUUGAACCCCGACCCCUAACAAAUGGCAUCUCUGGGAGGUGGUUAGGCUUAGGGGAGGUGAUGCGAGCAGGGCCCUCACGAAUGGAGGCAGUGCCCUCCUAGAAUCCUGAGUGAGCUUGGACCCCCCGGGGCCCCCUCCAGGUGAGGACACAGGAGAGGUCAGCAGUCUGACCCCUGGAAGAGGGCUCGUGGCAGAUCUCGCCCGAGCUGCUUCCCUGACCUCCGACUUCAGCCGACAGAACUGCAAGAAAGAAGCGUCUGCUGUUUGUAAGCCACCUGCCCUUGGCGCUUUGUCCCAGCAGCCCAAGCUGACCACAAGCCGGGCAGCUGCAAGAUGCUGUAGAAUACGCUUCCUCUCACAUUUUCUACCUAUCUUGGAGCCCGGUGCCAGGCCAGUGACGAAGAGAGACAAAGAGAGAUACUCUGUCGACCAGAACACGAAAGGAGCUUGCCCCUCAGACACAGGACAGCUGAGGCUCAGGGCAGAGCAGUCUUCUCCUCAGCCACCAGGUGCGUGCAGUCCCUGCCGUCACUGCCGACGUGCUAUUCUCCAACAGGGAGCAGGUGGGACGUCCCUGGCUUGUUUGGAGUUUGGUCCUGAAUUAUCAUACUGUUUUGAGUGGCAUCUUUAUGCCCAGGAAGCAGGCUACAACAGCUUCUUGUCUCCCCAGGGUGGGGGGGAGACAAAAAUGAUGGAGGCUCACUCCCCUUGGUCACCCGACUGGUGAAACGAUGGUGGACCCGACUCCUUUAAAGACAGCCUCAGAGAAGUCAGUCUGGGCUGGAUGGAGCGGUGUGCGGCUGAGAGGGCCUCAACGAUGCUCACAGACAGGCAGGUUCGCCUGCUCUAAGAUGCUGGGUCUCAGCUGGCAGGGAGCAGAGACAGGGAGGCUGAGGACCCGGGGGCCUCCCGACAGGCAGUCCGGAGCAGUCUUCUUCGUGGGUUUCAAGCUCCGGGCGUGGAGACUGCAGACAGAAGACAGAAAGCCAAGCAGAGUUUUUCCACUUCUGUGCUGCACGUCCAAAGGCCCCACAUGCUUCCUGCGUUUCCGUUUUCUUUCUUUGUUAGGGAAUGUUUUGUGUUAAGUAAAGCCAACUUCCAGCAA